rnacentral:rRNA from 1 species
AGACCCGAAACCCGGUGAUCUAGCCAUGGGCAGGUUGAAGGUUGGGUAACACUAACUGGAGGACCGAACCGACUAAUGUUGAAAAAUUAGCGGAUGACCUGUGGCUGGGGGUGAAAGGCCAAUCAAACCGGGAGAUAGCUGGUUCUCCCCGAAAGCUAUUUAGGUAGCGCCUCGUGAAUUCAUCUCCGGGGGUAGAGCACUGUUUCGGCUAGGGGGCCAUCCCGGCUUACCAACCCGAUGCAAACUGCGAAUACCGGAGAAUGUUAUCACGGGAGACACACGGCGGGUGCUAACGUCCGUCGUGAAGAGGGAAACAACCCAGACCGCCAGCUAAGGUCCCAAAGUCAUGGUUAAGUGGGAAACGAUGUGGGAAGGCCCAGACAGCCAGGAUGUUGGCUUAGAAGCAGCCAUCAUUUAAAGAAAGCGUAAUAGCUCACUGGUCGAGUCGGCCUGCGCGGAAGAUGUAACGGGGCUAAACCAUGCACCGAAGCUGCGGCAGCGACACUGUGUGUUGUUGAGUAGGGGAGCGUUCUGUAAGCCUGUGAAGGUGGCCUGUGAGGGUUGCUGGAGGU